rnacentral:lncRNA from 1 species
UUCAAAAUGGCAAAUGGAUUGUUUAAAGGUUCUCAUAGAGGUUCAAGAGAGGAAGAAGUGAAUCCAAAGGAGAAGAGGAGAGGAGAAAACUGCAUCUUUUGCAUGAAGACGUAGACACAGACACAUAAUGGACAGAACAGAACAGAUUUGGAAUCAUAAAAUCACUCCGGUGUUGUGGAAGUCAAAAGAGGAG